AUGUUCAUACUCCAAGGCGCGCCCACCCUUAAGGAGCUAGGCAUCAUGGUGCGGAAUCAUUGGUGCAAAAUGAUACCGGGGAAGCGGAGGAAGAGGUUUGCGUUCAGCGAGGGGAAGGACAAAGGGAUUGAGUGGGAACCAUCUGCAUCUGAUUUCAAACACCACAGUCUGGCUGAGCUCAGAAUCUAUGGUAGGUUUAAAGGAGAAGAAAAAUUUGUUAGCUAUGCCAGAUGUGUCAUGGAAGCAGCGGUGAAUCUGGAGGACAUAAAACUACAUAAGAAUCCAGUGUGUGUGAAUCGCAAGUACAAGGCUCCAAAGGAGUGGACACGCAAGCAGAAGUUGUCUCUUAGGAACAAAAUCACGGAUUGGCGUUUCACGUCGCAAUACCCCUGUAAAAUAUUCAGACCUUCGUCGGUCGUUUUUCUUUCCAGCUCAAAAUCAAGUGUGGCCGGUAUUAUUCACCUGUAA
rnacentral:rRNA from 1 species